rnacentral:rRNA from 1 species
UCCUGUAAUGUCAAAAUGCCCUAAAAACACCAGAUUCUGUCUGUUCUUGGAAGUUAAGCAGGGUCAGCCCUGGAUAGUACUUGAAUGGGAGACUAGCAAUGAAUACUAGACACUGUGGGCU